CACGGGGGGAGCAAGCGUUGUUCGGAAUCACUGGGCGUAAAGGGAGUCUAGGCGGUCAGGUAAGUGGAAUGUGAAAUCCCUCGGCUCACCCGAGGACCUGCAUCCCAAACUGCCUGGCUUGAGUAUGGGAGAGGAUGAGGGAAUUCCCGGUGUAGUGGUGAAAUGCGUAGAUAUCGGGAGGAACACCAGUGGCGAAGGCGACUACCUGGCCUGUUCUUGACGCUGAGGCGCGAAAGCUAGGGGAGCAAACGGG
rnacentral:rRNA from 1 species